rnacentral:rRNA from 1 species
UGGGCAACCGGCGAACGGGUGCGUAACACGUGAGCAACCUACCGAACUGUGGGGGAUAGCCGGCCUAACGGCCGAGUAAUACCGCAUACGCUCUCAGAGAGGCAUUUCUUUGAGAGGAAACCUACGGGACAGAUCGAGGGGCUCGCGGCCUAUCAGCUAGUUGGCGAGGUAACGGCUCACCAAGGCAACGACGGGUAGCUGGUCUGAGAGGAUGGCCAGCCACAUUGGGACUGAGAUACGGCCCAGACUCCUACGGGAGGCAGCAGUGGGGAAUCUUGCGCAAUGGCCUAACGGCUGACGCAGCGACGCCGCGUGUGGGAUGAAGCUCUUCGGAGUGUAAACCACUGUUGCCCGGGACGAACAGCUCGAUUAAUCGAGCCUGACGGUACCGGGUGAGGAAGCACCGGCUAACUCCGUGCCAGCAGCCGCGGUAAUACGGGGGGUGCGAGCGUUGUCCGGAAUCACUGGGCGUAAAGGGCGCGUAGGUGGUUUGAUAAGGGUGUGGUGAAAGUCCGGGGCUCAACCCCGGAUCUGCCGUGCCGACUGUCAAACUCGAGGACUGUAGAGGCAGACGGAAUUCCGGGUGUAGCGGUGGAAUGCGUAGAGAUCCGGAGGAAGACCGGUGGCGAAGGCGGUCUGCUGGGCAGUUUCUGACACUGAGGCGCGAC